CCUACGGGUGGCAGCAGUGGGGAAUAUUGCACAAUGGGCGAACGCCUGAUGCAGCAACGCCGCGUGAAGGAAGAAGGUUUUCGGCUCGUAAACUUCUAUCAACAGGGACGAAAGAAAUGACGGUACCUGAAUAAUAAGCCCCGGCUAACUACGUGCCAGCAGCCGCGGUAAUACGUAGGGGGCAAGCGUUAUCAGGAAGUACUGGGUGUAAAGGGUGAGUAGGCUGCAUGGGAAGCCAGAUGGGAAAGCCUUUGACUUAAACCGAGGAUCGCAUUUGAAACUAUCAAGCUAGAGUACAGGAGAGGAAAGCGGAAGUACUAGUGUAGCGGUGAAAUGCGUAGAUAUUAGGAAGAACACCAGUGGCGAAGGCGGCUUUCUGGACUGAGACUGACGCUGAGGCACGAAGGCGUGGGGAGCGAACAGGAUUAGAUACCCCUGUAGUC
rnacentral:rRNA from 1 species